AUUGAACGCUGGCGGCAUGCUUUACACAUGCAAGUCGAACGAGUGGCGCACGGGUGUGUAAUACAUCGGAACGUGUCCUAUCGUGGUGGAUAACUCAUCGAAAGAUCAGCUAAUAUCGCAUACGAUUGGAGCUGCCGAUGCCCGAUUGGCUAGGUGGUGAGGUAAAGGAUCACCAGGGCGACGAUCGGUAGCUGGUCUGCGAGGACGACCAGCCACCCUGGGACGGAGACACGGCCCAGACUCCGACGGGAGGAAGCAGUGGGGAAUUUUGGACAAGGGGGGCAACCCUGAUCCAGCCAUGCCGCGUGCAGGAUGAAGGUCUUCGGAUUGUAAACUGCUUUUGGCAGGGAAGCGGUACCUGAAGAAUAAGCACCGGCUAACUACGUGCCAGCAGCCGCGGUAAUUC
rnacentral:rRNA from 1 species